rnacentral:rRNA from 1 species
GACGAACGCUGGCGGCGUGCCUAAUACAUGCAAGUUGAGCGCUGAAGGUUGGUACUUGUCCCGACUGGAUGAGCAGCGAACGGGUGAGUAACGCGUGGGGAAUCUGCCUUUGAGCGGGGGACAACAUUUGGAAACGAAUGCUAAUACCGCAUAAAAACUUUAAACACAAGUUUUAAGUUUGAAAGAUGCAAUUGCAUCACUCAAAGAUGAUCCCGCGUUGUAUUAGCUAGUUGGUGAGGUAAAGGCUCACCAAGGCGAUGAUACAUAGCCGACCUGAGAGGGUGAUCGGCCACAUUGGGACUGAGACACGGCCCAAACUCCUACGGGAGGCAGCAGUAGGGAAUCUUCGGCAAUGGAUGAAAGUCUGACCGAGCAACGCCGCGUGAGGGAAGAAGGGUUUCGGAUCGUAAAACUCUGUUGGUAGAGAAGAACGUUGGUGAGAGUGGAAAGCUCAUCAAGUGACGGUAACUACCCAGAAAGGGACGGCUAACUACGUG